rnacentral:rRNA from 1 species
CCUACGUGGGGCAGCAGUAGGGAAUAUUGCUCAAUGGGGGAAACCCUGAAGCAGCAACGCCGCGUGGAGGAUGAAGGUUUUCGGAUUGUAAAAUCCUUCUGUUAGAGAAGAUAAUGACGGUAUCCAACGAAUAAGCACCGGCUAACUCCGUGCCAGCAGCCGCGGUAAUACGGAGGGUGCAAGCGUUACUCGGAAUCACUGGGCGUAAAGAGCGCGUAGGCGGGAUAGCAAGUCAGAUGUGAAAUCCUAUGGCUUAACCAUAGAACUGCAUUUGAAACUGUUAUUCUAGAGUUUGGGAGAGGUAGGUGGAAUUCUUGGUGUAGGGGUAAAAUCCGUAGAGAUCAAGAGGAAUACUCAUUGCGAAGGCGACCUGCUAGAACAUAACUGACGCUGAUGCGCGAAAGCGUGGGGAGCAAACAGGAUUAGAUACCCCUGUAGUC